rnacentral:rRNA from 1 species
UUGCCUACGGGACGCAGCAGUGGGGAAUAUUGCACAAUGGGGGAAACCCUGAUGCAGCGACGCCGCGUGAGCGAAGAAGUAUUUCGGUAUGUAAAGCUCUAUCAGCAGGGAAGAAAAAUGACGGUACCUGAGUAAGAAGCACCGGCUAAAUACGUGCCAGCAGCCGCGGUAAUACGUAUGGUGCAAGCGUUAUCCGGAUUUACUGGGUGUAAAGGGAGCGCAGGCGGUGCGGCAAGCCUGAUGUGAAAGCCCGGGGCUCAACCCCGGGACUGCCUUGGAAAAUACCGCACUAGAUGGUCGGCGAG